CAAUAGCGUAUAUUAAAGUUGUUGCAGUUAAAAAGCUCGUAGUUGGAUUUCUGGCAGGAGUGACCGGCCGCACACACUGUGUGCGAGUUGCGUCAUUCUGGCCAUCCUUGGUGAGAUCCUGUUUGGCAUUAAGUUGUCGGGCAGGGGAUAACCAUCGUUUACUGUGAAAAAUUAGAGUGUUUAAAGCAGGCUUAUGCCGUUGAAUAUAUUAGCAUGGAAUAAUGGAAUAGGACUACGGUCUCUUUGUUGGUUUGAGGGACUGCAGUAAUGAUUAAUAGGGAUAGUUGGGGGCAUUAGUAUUUAAUUGUCAGAGGUGGAAUUCUCGGAUUUGUUAAAGACUAACUUAUGCGAAAGCAUUUGCCAAGGAUGUUUUCAUUAAUCAAGAACGAAAGUUAGGGGAUCAAAGACGAUCAGAUACCGU
rnacentral:rRNA from 1 species